UGAGAGCUUUGUCUUCAGUCCCUUUGGCCC
rnacentral:piRNA from 1 species